AACGAACGCUGGCGGCAGGCUUAACACAUGCAAGUCGAGGGGUAGUCAUCUUCGGAUGAUGAGACCGGCGCACGGGUGCGUAACGCGUAUACAAUCUACCUUUUACAGAGGGAUAGCCCAGAGAAAUUUGGAUUAAUACCUCAUAGUAUAACGACUCGACAUCGAGAUGUUAUUAAAGUCACAACGGUGAAAGAUGAGCAUGCGUCCCAUUAGCUAGUUGGUAUGGUAGCGGCAUACCAAGGCGACGACGGGUAGCCGGCCUGAGAGGGCGACCGGCCACACUGGGACUGAGACACGGCCCAGACUCCUACGGGAGGCAGCAGUGAGGAAUAUUGGUCAAUGGGCGCAAGCCUGAACCAGCCAUGCCGCGUGCAGGAUGAAGCAUCUAUGGUGUGUAAACUGCUUUUGUACGAGAAGAAACACUCCUACGUGUAGGAGCUUGACGGUAUCGUAAGAAUAAGGAUCGGCUAACUCCGUGCCAGCAGCCGCGGUAAUACGGAGGGUCCAAGCGUUAUCCGGAAUCAUUGGGUUUAAAGGGGUCCGUAGGCGGUUUAAUAAGUCAGUGGUGAAAUCUCCCCGCUCAACGGUGGAACGGCCAUUGAUACUGUUAGACUUGAAUUAUUAGGAAGUAACUAGAAUAUGUAGUGUAGCGGUGAAAUGCUUAGAGAUUACAUGGAAUACCAAUUGCGAAGGCAGGUUACUACUAAUUGAUUGACGCUGAUGGACGAAAGCGUGGGUAGCGAACAGGAUUAGAUACCCUGGUAGUCCACGCCGUAAACGAUGGAUACUAGCUGUUGAAGCAAUUUCAGUGCUAAGCGAAAGUGAUAAGUAUCCACCUGGGAGUACGUUCGCAGAAUGAA
rnacentral:rRNA from 1 species